UACGAAGGGGGCUAGCGUUGUUCGGAAUUACUGGGCGUAAAGGGCGCGUAGGCGGGUCUUAAGUCAGGGGUGAAAUCCUGGAGCUCAACUCCAGAACUGCCUUUGAUACUGAGGAUCUUGAGUUCGGGAGAGGUGAGUGGAACUGCGAGUGUAGAGGUGAAAUUCGUAGAUAUUCGCAAGAACACCAGUGGCGAAGGCGGCUCACUGGCCCGAUACUGACGCUGAGGCACGAAAGCGUGGGGAGCAAACAGG
rnacentral:rRNA from 1 species